GAAAUGCGAUAAGUAAUGUGAAUUGCAGAAUUCAGUGAAUCAUCGAAUCUUUGAACGCACCUUGCGCUCCUUGGUAUUCCUUGGAGCAUGCCUGUUUGAGUAUCAUGAAAUCUUCAAAGUAAAUCUUUUGUUAACUCAAUUGGUUUCUACUUUGGUAUUGGAGGUCUUUGCAGCUUCACACCUGCUACUCUUUGUUCAUUAGCUGGAUCUCAGUGUUAUGCUUGGUUCCACUCGGCGUGAUAAGUUAUCUAUCGCUGAGGACACUGUAAAAGGUGGCCAAGGUAAAUGCAGAUGAACCGCUUCUAAUAGUCCAUUGACUUGGACAAUACUUUUAUGAUCUGAUCUCAAAUCAGGUAGGACUACCCGCUGAACUUAAGC
rnacentral:misc_RNA from 1 species